rnacentral:misc_RNA from 1 species
GGACUUCACAAUACCAGUUACCAUGUUAGAUAUACUUUCUUGUGACAGUGAAGUUCUACUUGACCCAUUGGAUGGCUAGAUUCCAUGAAUAGAAUGGAAAUGAGGCAGAAGAAUGAAAGAGAAAAGAACUGGGAAAAGUAUUUAUCAGGAGAAAGAUGGAUUCACGUCAGGAGAGCCUUGACUGUGUAGCAGUUUGGUCAAUUAAAGCACAUCAAAUGCCAUUUAUUCAGAUGAAACUGAUCAUUGAGAUAUGAAGAUGUUUCAAUUGCAGAUGGAUGCUGAGCCUCGGUUAUUCCAAUAAAGGAACAAAGGGAAUGCAGAAAGUCCACCAAAAUAAGGUGCGGUAUUCAUGCCUCCCAUUUAUCAACUUUUAUUUACUUAAAACUAUGUGCAUGAAUGUAUUUUCUUUAAGCAUUUUAAGUUACUUGUUAUUUUUGUGGCUUGAAAUUUAGAUAUAUUUUUCAUGGACCUGAAAUUUGAUUUGACCCGAAAGUUUCGCUUUGCUAUCCAAUUGGGAUAAAAAGUGAGAUCAGUGGUGGGCUUCGGGCUCGGGCUGUUGCCCCUGCAGUAUGGACCAGUAUAAAUAUUGUAAUAUUCUACCCUUUGUGGUAGAGUUGUGAGAUAUUCGGAAAACAUACUGGGGUUAGGGUUUGCUCUUUUUCAUCAUAGUGAAACUUUUUUCUCUUGUCUUGCCCGUGGACGUAGA